GGAUGCGAUCAUACCAGCACUAAAGCACCGGAUCCCAUUAGAACUUCAAAGUUAAGCGUGCUUGGGCGAGAGUAGUACUAGGAUGGGUGACCUCCUGGGAAGUCCUCGUGUUGCAUUCC
rnacentral:rRNA from 1 species